rnacentral:rRNA from 1 species
UACGUAGGGAGCUAGCGUUGUCCGGAAUCAUUGGGCGUAAAGCGCGCGUAGGCGGCCCGGUAAGUCCGCUGUGAAAGUCAAAGGCUCAACCUUUGAAUGUCAGCGGAUACUGCCGGGCUAGAGUCCGGAAGAGGCGGGUGGAACUCCUGGUGUAGCGGUGGAAUGCGCAGAUAUCAGGAAGAACACCAACGGCGAAGGCAGCUCGCUGGGACGGAACUGACGCUAAGGCGCGAAAGCGUGGGGAGCGAACAGG